GGUUGUAGCUCAGCGGUAGAGCGCUGGCCUCAAAAAUGCUCCCUCACCUGGUACAUGUGAGGCCCUGGGUUCGAUCCUCAGCACCA
rnacentral:tRNA from 1 species